rnacentral:rRNA from 1 species
CAGUCGUACCGGCGGAUAAUCAGCCUUUCGGGUGCGAUUCUGUGGGGCGUGAGGAGUUUAACCGCCUUCAUGUUUUACGUAUUCGUGCUCUUGGGUGUACUUGCCCGUGUGGUAGGUUAACGUCAAUUUUGGUCGUCAUAAAAUGAUUGGAGGAAUGUAGCUUUGGUCUCGUAUCGAAGUGUUAUAGACUCUGGUAGAUGUGACGAUUGGGAUUGAGGAUUGCAACGGAUACCCUUCGGGGCUACCUGUCUGAUCUCUGAUCGUUGCUCUGGUGCCGAAAGCUUGCUUACGGUUAUCAAAGUCAAUGGUCAAUAGG